rnacentral:misc_RNA from 1 species
AAAGUCGUAACAAGGUUUCCGUAGGUGAACCUGCGGAAGGAUCAUUAGCGAAAGCAGCAUCGGUGCCGUGGCGUGUCGGGAAACUGACGCACACGCACCGCAUGCAUGCGCUAACUCUGUGAACGUGGACGCGUAUACGUGUCGCCCGAGCAAUCGGGCGACAGCAUACAAACGACUGGACAAUGCAACACCAUUAAUAUCACAUCAUAAUUAUAUAUACAACUUUUAACAAUGGAUCUCUAGGCUCCU